rnacentral:tRNA from 1 species
CGAGCGCUUGCGAAGGGCUGAUAACGCCUGGAGGAAUCCCCGGUUGGCCUCCGGAGCCAAAGGCCGCAGGUUCGAAUCCUGCAUCGCGCGC